UGUUUCGUAUUUCUGCCAGAAAAUACGAGCGACCACGCCUCCACCCCAUCUGGAUCCGCCGCCGACCGGCGUCCUCAACCACGCCAUCCACCGCCGUGCCGUCCUCCCCGCACCGCAGACUGCCUCCUCUCUGUCGUGCCCUCUUCCUCGCGCCGCCCGAGUCCUCCGCGCGCGGUUCGCCGACGCCGAGGCCCAGGCCAGCCUGCUCCGGGCCCGCGCCACCGACCGCGACGGGCUGCUCAGCACGCUCCUCGCCACCACGGGCAACGACCGGGAGGUGGAGGACGCGCGGGAGGCGGGGUAGCGUCAGAAUCAGCGCACGUCGGAUCCGGCAUGCUGCUCCGCUCCCUUCCCAAGUCGCCCUGGAUCUCGCGAUGCUGGAGGUGGCCGCCGUCGUUGCUAUGGAGGGCUCGCCACCCGCCUUCGGAGUCCCAUGUCCCCGAGAUCGACGGGAUUGCCAAGCCGAGGUCAUCAUCUUUCGACAGGCUCCUUCAUCACUUCUGGUUUCCCACAGUGGCUAUGGGCUGCCUCUCCCUCUCGAUCCUGCGCUCCUCCUCCUCCGGUUCAGGUUUCAGGCCGUGGCAGAGGGUCGCCUCUCCAUAUCCAUCCUUCCAAUCUGGAGCACAGGUGGAGAGCCUGGCUGUGUGCGGCGGAGAUGGCGCCCGCAUCUGCGCCCUAUAAGCCCGGACAAAGCUCCUCCGAGGCCAUGACCUCCGCAGGUAUCGAUCUAAAAAAGGCCGACAACCCAAUGGAACCUCUCCCUGUCUCUUUCUUCUGCAUCUUCCUCAUACUAUCCACUGGAAUCUUAGUUUUUGUAGUUAGCUAGCAAAGACUCAAUUGCUGCAUUUUUUGACUGUACAUCUUCAUAUAGGAUUCGAUAGCCAUGCCCUGGAGAGAAAGCUCACAAAUUAGUGCAGUUAACAAGAAGCAAUUGAACCGAAGAUCUUACAAGAUGGCUUGCAAAUCUAGGUAUCAAACAGAAUUUCGGUAAUAUAUAUUAUGUAUACGGUACUUGGAAGGGAUGCUUACCAGGUAAAUACCACUUAAAAUCUAGGUCCAGUAACUAUCCAGUUGCAGAUUCACUGCAAGUUUGUGCGACAGAUAUACAUACAUAUAUAUAUAUAUAUAUAUAUAUAUAUAUAUAUAUAUAUAGAGAGAGAUCAACUAGGAUUUAGGUUUAACUCUAUGGUACAAUUGAAAGACUAAGGAGAAGAGGGUGGAUUGUACUACCUGAUUGCUUGCUGUACAUCCGAAAGAGAUUCAGUUGCUCUGAAUAUUCUGAUUUGCCACAUGGUCGCCAGUGUGAAUAGCGCCUUCAUGAGCGAAUCUUUUAAUGACGUAAUUACCAUCCAGCCAUCCUGCCUUUCCAACGAACAACAUACAAGCUUUGUUCUCUGAAGUUUAAGAAUAGUGCAACCAUCUUGCCUUUCCAAAGAAUAACAUAUAUAUUUUUAACCUUAAUAGUGCAGCCAGCUAGCUGUAGUGCACUUAUCUCUAAGCCCAGCUCCUCUUUAAUCCAUAAACUUAUCCGUAACCAAAGGCUAGACGUAUAUUCAACUAAUUCUAUUCAUUGAGUUGAGUUUCUUACUUCGGUAUGGCAUGGGGUAUAGUAAGUUCCAUUUCAAUGUUCCAGGGACCACUUCCAGUAAGUUUCCACUCGACAUCAGCAGUAAUGUCCACUACCUGUAUCAGCAUGGUUAUAGCGGUAGAUAAUCAGGGCAAAUAUCAUAAGCAAAUUACAACUUUAGAAUCUCUGAAUUCUAAUAGAUUUCUAAUAUCCUUCAAAACAUGAUGUGUGAGCGCUCUUUAGAUAUUCCAGUAAGUUUCUUUCUACAGGUGUUCUUACAUCUCCUGAAUGGAUGAUUCUCUUUGCAUUUCGGCCGCUCGGCCCACUUCCGAUGAUCCACUACAUCAUCACUGUUUGGUAACCGGAGGGGAGGCCGCAAGGCGGGACAGCCAGUAGCGGCAUUCUGUUCGGGGAUGCGUGGAUCUGGUGAUGCUGGAGCUUGGGAACAGGAAACAUCAUAUCCGCAUGGCGUUUCAAAUAGCCAAUUUACCUUUCUCCCUAAAGGAUUCUUGCUCUGCUGUCAGUAUCACUGGUCUUGGGGUUUAGAUUUUGUCAAUAUCAAAAUCUGGGUACUUACCAGCAAACGAGUUGUUGAUCUAUUUACUUAGUCAAGUUCAUUUCUGCUAUGUUCUUCAGUCAAGCUUCAACUUCUAGCCUUGAUUAAAUGGCAAUGAUAUUCUCCAAAACCUACUAAUGUCAGAAAUCCUGCUACCCAACAGGAUGGUCUGCCAAGUGAUGUGAGCACUACUCAGUGUGUGGCAGACGUUCAUUAGGAAUGCAAACAAGAUUUGAGAUGUAGGUGUUGGUCAAAUUCUGGAAAAUUAUGGGUCUGCAGAGGGAACAUAGUUUGAUGGGACAGCUCCUGAAUCAAUGUCACAUAAGGCAACAACAUAUUUGGAGGAGUUGAAGGAGUUGAGAUGAGUUGAUCACAUCCUCAUGUGUCUUUGCAUGUUGCAACAGGGGUGGUGUACUUUUUUUUAUAGCAACAUUCCUACUUUAGAUAGAAGAACUUAUGGGGCACAUCAGAUGUACUGACCACUCCUUAGUCCCAAGAACGGGAGUAACAAUUUUUCUCAAGUUCUGCUGAUGUAUUGUACUAGAAGUCUGUUCAUCAAACUGCCUUAUCAACCAUUUGCUAUUAACCCUCAAACAUCUAACUUUUUUUU